rnacentral:misc_RNA from 1 species
UGAUGAAGAGGAGGAAGAAGAGGAAUACGAUGAUGAAGAGUAUGUGGAGGACGAGGAAGACUAUGAGGGGGAUGAGUACCAGGAAGUAGGUGGAACUAGUGGCGAAGGUCACGAGGAAACUGUUAAGAAGGUUGAAGCAGUAACGGAGGGUGCUGAGGGAGUGAAGCAAGUUGUGGGAGAAGGAACAGGGUCGGGUCAAGGGAUUGAUGAUGACAAUGAGAAUAAUGUGCAGGGGGAGGAGGGCAAGAAAGAGAAUGAACCUUUUGCGGUGCCCACUGCUGGAGCAUUCUACAUGCACGAUGACAGGUUUCGAGACAAUGCUGGUGGGCGACACAGGCGAACUUUUGGUGGAAGGAAGUUAUGGGAAUCCAGAGAUGAGAGGAAAUGGGGACAUGACAAGUUUGAAGAGUUGACU